UGGGGAAUUUUGGACAAUGGGGGAAACCCUGAUCCAGCCAUGCCGCGUGAGUGAAGAAGGCCUUCGGGUUGUAAAGCUCUUUCGGGCGGAAAGAAAUCGCACGAGCUAAUACCUCGUGUGGAUGACGGUACCGCAAGAAGAAGCACCGGCUAACUACGUGCCAGCAGCCGCGGUAAGACGUAGGGUGCGAGCGUUAAUCGGAAUUACUGGGCGUAAAGCGUGCGCAGGCGGUUGUGUAAGACAGAUGUGAAAUCCCCGGGCUUAACCUGGGAACUGCGUUUGUGACUGCACGGCUAGAGUACGGCAGAGGGGGGUGGAAUUCCACGUGUAGCAGUGAAAUGCGUAGAGAUGUGGAGGAACACCGAUGGCGAAGGCAGCCCCCUGGGCCUGUACUGACGCUCAUGCACGAAAGCGUGGGGAGCAAA
rnacentral:rRNA from 1 species